rnacentral:tRNA from 1 species
UGAGAGGUAGCUCAGCGGCAAAGCGUUUGCCUCGCAUUUGCAAAAACUUGGGUUUGACCCCCAAUUCCAAAA